AUUCUGUCUCUUAUUCUCUUAGUGGUCCCAGUUCUUCUCUGGAUUCAUGACGACAUCAACCCAAACUUGUGUAGUUAUUUUGUUGUUAUGAAGAAACACUAUUUAGAAGGCUUCUCCUGGGCAAUCUUCUGUGCUUUGCUGUUGCAAUUGUUUAUGUACGUCCACAUCGCAAUUAUCGCAGUCUCACAAAGCCGGAAGGUAGAUAUUAUAGGUGUGGGUCAGUCCCAGUCACAAGUGCCACCGAGAACAACCGCCAACCGGAUGUCGAAACCAGGCCGGGUAGUACUGACAUUGGUCGGCAUCAACUUCAUAGCGAUUCUCCCAGUCGGUAUCUAUUCAAAUCUAGUGUCCACUAAUCGCCUGACUCACCUGGACAAGGUCACACAAGGAAGCAUGCUGGUUUAUAUAGUCACGCCCCUUUAUUUGAUCAGUUUGAUCAAUCCUUGUUUGUACGCCUUUAAGAUACCGGAUGUCAAACGCACCCUCUCGCUGUACAUCCCGUGCUUAAGAGACAGGGUGGAGCCUUCGUCAUCCUCAGCCAAUCAGACGAAUACAUCGGGAAUACAGACUACAUGAUAGAGAUGACGUAACAACAGUAAAAUCAUGACGGAGAUGAUGACGUAAUAUCUAUGUCUUCAUUAUAGAAGUGACAUAGAAGGGCGGGAAUGUAUAAAAAAAAAUAUUAUUGAAAUGACAUAGAGGGGCGGAAAUGUAUUUCAAUUGUAGAAAUUACAUAGAGGGGCGGGGAUGUAUUAACAUUAUAGAAAUGACAUAGAGGGGCGGGGAUGUAUUUACAUUAUAGAAAUGACAUAGAGGGGCGGGGAUGUAUUUCCAUUAUAGAAAUGACAUAGAGGGGCGGGGAUGUAUUUCCAUUAUAGAAUUACAUAGAAUGGCGGGAAUGUAUGUAUGAUAUAAUGUUGUUGUUUUUUUUUCUUUCGGAAAAUUGUAGCCUAAGUCAAGUAAAAGAGAAAAGGUAUCAUCUGUAUAAUAUCACUUCUGUCAUUUAGAGUAUGCUGGGAUCAUAGUGGGGAUUCAUGUUUAUUCUAUCAAAAGUUAGGUUUUUAUUUAUCUUCUUUUUUUUUUUUUAAAUUUCGAUGUAAAUUUUAUUGUAUUAUAGAAAUGGAGCAUCAUUGUAUCUAGUCUAGGAAGUAAUUAAAUUAUCAAAAAUGAUCGUCAUCUUAGAAUUUUCCAAAGUCUGGAAUACGUAGAAGUGAUUUUUUUUUAUACUUUCGUAGCGAGCAUCAUUCUUGCAUUAACGUGUUGCAAUUACUGUAGUAUGAUUGCCCAUCUAAUACAGCCAUUCCUUGGCUCGUUCUGUCUCUUUUGAAAUUAUUUCCUUUAUUCUCAAAUGUACAAUGUACAGACACGAUAAUUUAAAAUGAACACUGGGUUUACAAAGCUAACAAAUAUCGGAUAGAUAGUCCAGUAAGUCUCGUGCUGAUGACAUUUCUUUCAUUUUCAAUUUGUAAACUGAUAGACCGAGCCCGUGAUCAAUGCCUAGACCUUCUGAAUCCCAGUCAGGAUUUAAUUACACACAGUUUAAUGUACUCCAGGGACAGCGUCUAAUAAUCUCAACGAAUUCAAUUAUUCAUCACGUGAGUACAACACGCGGUUUAAUAUUACUGUUAUUGUAUGCGGUGGCUAACACCAGUUUUAGAUUUAAAGUAUUCAAUGUUUAGCGAUCAUAUUUCAUAUCUAAUUUAUGGAUGGUGUGAUUUUUGUAAUAAUGGAAUCAUAUUGAAGGGUAUAUCAAAUAAAAAUAAUUCUC